rnacentral:rRNA from 1 species
AUGAAUCCAAAAAUUUCAGAUUUUGGGCUAGCAAAAAUAUUUAGCUCAAACACUGAAGGAAACACAACAACAAGAGUGGUUGGUACAUAUGGCUACAUGGCCCCUGAGUAUGCUUCACAGGGUGUCUUCUCUAUCAAAUCCGACGUCUUCAGCUUUGGUGUUAUUAUCUUUGAGAUCCUUAGUGGAAAACGGAAUUCUGGAAACCAACAAUAUGGAGAUUUCAUCAAUCUUCUUGGAUAUGCAUGGCAAUUAUGGGAUGAGGGAAGGUGGAUUGAUCUCGUUAGUUCAUCAUCGUUUUCCAAAAGUCACUCGACAAAGAUGAUGAGGUGCAUUAACAUAGCACUAUUGUGCGUACAAGAGAAUGCAGCCGAUCGACCAACUAUGGCUGAUGUUAUAGCUAUGCUAACAAACCUCUAA